GUGAACGCUGGCGGUAGGCCUAACACAUGCCAGUCGAACGGCAGCACAGUAAGAGCUUGCUCUUACGGGUGGCGAGUGGCGGACGGGUGAGGAAUACAUCGGAAUCUACUUUUUCGUGGGGGAUAACGUAGGGAAACUUACGCUAAUACCGCAUACGACCUACGGGUGAAAGCAGGGGAUCUUCGGACCUUGCGCGAUUGAAUGAGCCGAUGUCGGAUUAGCUAGUUGGCGGGGUAAAGGCCCACCAAGGCGACGAUCCGUAGCUGGUCUGAGAGGAUGAUCAGCCACACUGGAACUGAGACACGGUCCAGACUCCUACGGGAGGCAGCAGUGGGGAAUAUUGGACAAUGGGCGCAAGCCUGAUCCGGCCAUACCGCGUGGGUGAAGAAGGCCUUCGGGUUGUAAAGCCCUUUUGUUGGGAAAGAAAAGCAGCAGGUUAAUACCCCGCUGUUCUGACGGUACCCAAAGAAUAAGCACCGGCUAACUUCGUG
rnacentral:rRNA from 1 species